CUCAAAGAAACAAUGGCGCGGUGGCCGAAAACAGUUUAACGUAAAUAAAGAACUUAAACAAACCCGUAGGCGUGUGGCGAUUGCCAGAACUCAAAACACAUGAAAACAAAACUAGGUCAAGUUCGUGCAGCGAGUUCACGAAAAUGCCAGCGACCCCGAACGGGCGGAAACUUCCGGCAUUUAUGGGGCGUCAGGAUUAAAGUCAGGUGUGGAGGCCAGCUGCAGGCAAUCCUGACAGAGCCCCCCCUCCAAGGGCUACGUCCUCGGAGCCCCAACAGUACCAUCAGUGGAGGCGGCGGGGUGGACGGCGGCAACCACAGGGCUCCUGCCCUGCUGUAUCCUCCCCUUGGAGGACCCGGUCCCUCGGGCUGGCUCCCCGGCGUGGUCAGGCGUGGCGGCCCCGGUCCCUCGGGCUGGCUCCCCGGCGUGGUCAGGCGUGGCGGCCCCGGUCCCUCGGGCUGGCUCCCCGGCGUGGUCAGGCGUGGCGGCCCCGGUCCCUCGGGCUGGCUCCCCGGCGUGGUCAGGCGUGGCGGCCCCGGACCCUCGGCCUGGCUCCCCGGCGUGGUCCCGCUUGGCGGCCCCGGACCCUCGGCCUGGCUCCCCGGCGUGGUCCCGCUUGGCGGCCCCGGACCCUCGGCCUGGCUCCCCGGCGUGGUCCCGCUUGGCGGCCCCGGACCCUCGGCCUGGCUCCCCGGCGUGGUCCCGCUUGGCGGCCCCGGACCCUCGGCCUGGCUCCCCGGCGUGGUCCCGCUUGGCGGCCCCGGACCCUCGGCCUGGCUCCCCGGCGUGGUCCCGCAUGGCGGCCCCGGACCCUCGGCCUGGCUCCCCGGCGUGGUCCCGCAUGACGGCCCCGGACUCCCGUACCUGCACACAAUAAUCAGGGCCGAUCCAUCUGGGUACGUGUGGGCCCUGUCUCCACAUGUCCCCUCUGACACAUCUUGUGUCACCCCCUGCACCGCGCAGGGAGAUUGUCCCAGAGCCUCCGGCGACUGUUCCAGGCACCCCAGGCUGGUGCCUUCUGGGACUAUGCAGCCCCUCUCGCUGCACGGCCCUGGUGCCAAGGGGGGGGGCAUUGCCAGACCAUCCGGCUAGCCCCUUCUGCGUCCGUUGGGACAAGCAGGCCCUCUUCCUGCCUGUCCCAGCUGGGUCCUCAUGCCUACCCGGGGGCUCUAUGGCGCUCCACCCCUCUGGAGGCAGACGCAGGCCCAUGC
rnacentral:lncRNA from 1 species